UCUGGCUCAGGACGAACGCUGGCGGCGUGCCUAACACAUGCAAGUCGAACGGUAAGGCCCUUCGGGGUACACGAGUGGCGAACGGGUGAGUAACACGUGGGCAAUCUGCCCUGCACUCUGGGAUAAGCCUGGGAAACUGGGUCUAAUACCGGAUAUGAGUCUCCACCGCAUGGCGGAGACUGGAAAGUUUUUCGGUGCAGGAUGAGCCCGCGGCCUAUCAGCUAGUUGGUGGGGUAAUGGCCUACCAAGGCGACGACGGGUAGCCGGCCUGAGAGGGUGAUCGGCCACACUGGGACUGAGACACGGCCCAGACUCCUACGGGAGGCAGCAGUGGGGAAUAUUGCACAAUGGGCGAAAGCCUGAUGCAGCGACGCCGCGUGCGGGAUGACGGCCUUCGGGUUGUAAACCGCUUUCAGCAGGGACGAAGCGCAAGUGACGGUACCUGCAAAAGAAGCACCGGCUAACUACGUGCCAGCAGCCGCGGUAAUACGUAGGGUGCGAGCGUUGUUCGGAAUUACUGGGCGUAAAGAGCUCGUAGGCGGACUGUCGCGUCGCCUGUGAAAGCCCGUGGCUCAACCACGGGUCUGCAGGCGAUACGGGCAGACUAGAGUACUGCAGGGGAGACUGGAAUUCCUGGUGUAGCGGUGGAAUGCGCAGAUAUCAGGAGGAACACCGGUGGCGAAGGCGGGUCUCUGGGCAGUAACUGACGCUGAGGAGCGAAAGCGUGGGGAGCGAACAGGAUUAGAUACCCUGGUAGUCCACGCUGUAAACGGUGGGCGCUAGGUGUGGGUUUCCUUCCAUGAAAUCCGUGCCGUAGCUAACGCAUUAAGCGCCCCGCCUGGGGAGUACGGCCGCAAGGCUAAAAC
rnacentral:rRNA from 1 species